rnacentral:rRNA from 1 species
GACGAACGCUGGCGGCGUGCUUAACACAUGCAAGUCGAACGGAAAGGCCCUGCUUUUGUGGGGUUCUCGAGUGGCGAACGCGUGAGUAACACGUGAGUAUCCUGCCCUUGUCUUUGGGAUAACUUCACGAAACUGCGGCUCAUACCGGAUAUGAGCUCCUGCUGCAUGUUGGGGGUUGGAGAGUUUCGGCGGUUGGGGAUGGACUCGCGGCUUAUCCGCUUGUUGGUGGGGUAGUGGCUUACCAAGGUUGAGACGGGUAGCCGGCAUGAGAGGGGUGCCGGGGACAAGGGGACUGAGAGAGGGAGCAGAAGGCUACGGGAGGCAGCAGGGGAGAGUAUGGCGCAAUAGGCGGAAGUCUGAGACAGCAACGCCGGGAGCGGGAUAACGGGCUACGGGGGAAGAACAGCUGUGGAAGGUGACGAGGAGUGAGUGACGGUAAUGGGUAAGGAAGCACCGGCUAACUACGUG